AUGGCAGCAGAACUGGUUGUUAGUGCCACGGCCCCGUCUGUCUUCCCCCUGACCUCCUGCACCGGCGAAGUCACCACCCCCCAGGUCACCUUCGGCUGCCUGGCCAAAGGCUACUUCCCCGAGCCGGUCACCGUGACAUGGAGCCCAAAUGUCAGCUCCUCGGGCGUGAGGACCUAUCCCUCCGUGCUGCAACCUUCCAGCAGCCUCUACUCGCUCAGCAGCCAGGUCAGCGUCCCGGCCAGCAGCUGGGAGUCUAACACCUACCGAUGCACCGUAGAGCACCAGCCCACCCGCUCCAGCAUCUCCAAGGAAAUCCCAAAGCCCAUCCCUGCUGAGCCCCAAGCCCCCGAGGUGCACGUCCUCCACUCCUCCUGCACCACCAAGCCAGGUGCCAUCCAGCUGCUCUGCUUCAUCUCCGGCUUCUACCCUGAGCCUUUGAAGGUGGAAUGGCUGGUGGACGGCGAGCCCGGGUUACUUCACGGGGACACUGCCCCUGCCAAGAAGGACGCCGACGGCCGCACCUUCAGCACCCGCAGCAAUGCCAGCGUCUCCCAGGACGUGUGGCUGGAGGGCAAGACGUACACCUGCCAGGUGUCCCACCCGGGCACUGCCACCACAAAGCAGGACCAUGCCCGCAAGUGCAGAGAAGAAACAACAUCUCCCAGUGACAUCCAAGUCUUCCUGGUGCCCCCGUCUCCUGCCGCCCUGUACGUGGCCCAGAACCCCAUGCUCACCUGCCUGGUGGUCAACCUGCCUAGCGACUCCGGCCUCCAGGUGGUCUGGUCCCGGGAGAAGCCAGGGUCCAUUGUCCCUGAACCCCUGACCCUCGCUGAGCAGUACAACACCACCUUCACCGCCUCCAGCUCCAUGCCCAUCUUCACCCGCGACUGGGAGGCUGGAGAGACCUUCACCUGCAAAGUGGAGCACUCAGAUCUGCCCUCUUCCCUCAUCAAAUCGAUCUCCAAGAAGCCAGGCAGGCGCUCUGGCCCUGGCAUCUACCUCCUGCGACCUCACAACGAGGAGCUGAGCAGCUCUGAAGACUCUGUCAGCGUCACCUGCCUGGUGCAGGGCUUCUUCCCCGAGGACAUCUCGGUGCAGUGGAUGAAGAACCACAAACCUGAUGAGACCUUGGAAUAUAUCACCACCCAGCCCAUCAAGGACGGAACUGGCGACUCAAACUUCUUCCUCUACAGCAAGCUGAAAGUCAGCAAGGCCAGCUGGAACAAAGGGGACAUCUACACCUGCAUGGUCAUCCACGAAGCCCUCUCCAUGAAGUUCACCCAACGCAGCGUCAGCAAAGACUCCGAGGUGAUCGUGUCAGGUGAGUUUUGCAGUGAGGACGGCGACGAGGACUUAGAUGGCCUCUGGGCCACCAUCUCGGUCUUCAUUACCCUCUUCCUCUUGAGCGUGUGCUACAGCGCCACCGUGACCCUGUUCAAGGUGAAGUGGCUUUUCUCCACCGUGGUGCAGCUGAAGCGCACGAGGGGGCCUGACUACAAGAACGUGAUCCAGCGCAUGGUGUAGGAGCUGCUGCCCUCAUCCACCCAGAGACAAGGGGCCGGGACUCCCGGCUCCAUUGGCGACACCGCCCUGAGUCCCACAGCUGCCCCCCACCAGCGCUGUGCCCUUGGGAAAGCCCCUGAGGGGAGCAAGGAGCUCACCUCACAUGGCCUAAUCAGCUCAGAGCUGGACUAAGGCUGGACCACUCAUAUCAUGCAGGGAACCAGCGCCCCUAGCGAGGAAACAACCCCUCUCCCACUUCCCACCCUCCUGAGCCCAACAGUCCCUGCUCUGGGUUGGGUCAGAACCAGCGCACCCUAGAGAGAAAGGCCCAUGUCCCAUUCCCCCACCCUGGGGCUAGAUUGGAGCUGGUGCCCCCUAGUGUGCAAGGGCCCUGUGCCCCAUUCGCUGUCCCCCUGAGCCAGCCAGCCAGCCCCCCACUGGGGCCAGAUCACAAAUGGCUUUGUCUCUGUUGCUCUGAAUGUUGCAUAUUUAGCUCCCGGCUGUUUUUUGUGACUUUUGU